CUGUGCUGUGGGCUCAGGAGACAGAGCUCUGGGUAUCUCACCAGGGCCUGGACCCCUCUCCUGCUCCUACUCCUCAUCCUAUGCACAGGUGC
rnacentral:pre_miRNA from 1 species